rnacentral:lncRNA from 1 species
AAGUAGUGCACUAUAUAGGGAAUAGGGUUCCAUAGGGCUCUGGUCAAUAGUAGUGCACGACAGAAAGAUGCCUUUUUGGGACACUGACCAGUUGGUCAUGUAUGUGCCUCCUUUAGUAAAUGCUAAAGUUAAAAUAAACAAAACGUCAUAUUGUACAAGAACAACCAAUUGAUGUUGAUUUGUAAAUAUGCUUCUUCUGCUUUCUGAGCUGUUUGUUUUGACUGUGAUAAUGAUGGCGUGUUGGUUUUUUCUAUUGUGUUUAUGUCCAGUGUCUCUCCUACAGUACGUGAGUCCUGUUAUAGCUGGUAACGUGGAAUAGAGAAGUGGUUCUGUGGCCGUACAUAAACGGCCUGCCCUAUUCCCUAUUUAACUGCACUACUUUAGACCAGGGCCCUAUGGGUCGUGGUCAAAAGGUAGUGUGCACUAUGUAGGGAAUAAGGUGCAUUUUGGGGUCCAUCCUCAAUCUGUCCUGCUCCACAGAGGUCAGGGACCUGUUGGGAUCCAUCCUCAAUCUGUCCUGCUCCUCAGAGGUCAGGGGCCUGUUGGGAUCCAUCCUCAAUCUGUCCUGCUCCUCAGAGGUCAGGGGCCUGUUGGGAUCCAUCCUCAAUCUGUCCUGCUCCUCAGAGGUCAGGGGCCUGUUGGGAUCCAUCCUCAAUCUGUCCUGCUCCUCAGAGGUCAGGGGCCUGUUGGGAUCCAUCCUCAAUCUGUCCUGCUCCUCAGAGGUCAGGGGCCUGUUGGGAUCCAUUCCAAUUGAACUUGGUCAAUUCAGGAAAUAAACUGAUAUUCCAAUUCAAUAAUUAAAAUUAUUUCUAAAAUAACCUGAAAACGAGAAGCUAUUUAUUUCAAAAGUUUUUCCAUCUUUUAAUUAGGAAUCAGAUGGUGUUAGAGUGGAGGAGGGGGGUUCAGAAAGGUUUUUCCUCUGUUAAUGCUGUCAUCUAGAUGAUCUGUUGUAUCCAGUUUAAAUGAAUCCAUGUGUCAGCGCGUGUUGACGGACGACCGAGGCACCACCUGUGCUCGUGUUGAAAAAGUAUUUGGUUUUAAAUAUACAGAAGUAUAAAAAGUUAAUAUAAUUGCUAAAAUAUACUUAAGUAUCAAAAGUAAAAGUUUAAAUCAUUUAAAAUUCUUUAUAUUAAGCAAAUCAGACGGCAGCAUUUUCUUGUUUUUUAAAAUGUUAUUUACAGACAUAAUUUACAAACUAGUGAGUCCACCAGAUCAGAGGCAGUAGGGAGGACCAGGGAUGUUCUCUGUUUAGUGAGUCCUCCAGAUCAGAGGCAGUAGGGAGGACCAGGGAUGUUCUCUGUUUAGUGAGUCCUCCAGAUCAGAGGCAGUAGGGACGACCAGGGAUGUUCUCUGUUUAGUGAGUCCUCCAGAUCAGAGGCAGUAGGGAUGACCAGGGAUGUUCUCUGUUUAGUGAGUCCUCCAGAUCCGAGGCAGUAGGGAUGACCAGGGAUGUUCUCUGUUUAGUGAGUCCUCCAGACCAGAGGCAGUAGAGAUGACCAGGGAUGUUCUCUUGAUAAGUGUAUAAAUUAGACUAUUUUCCUGUCCUGCUAAACAUUCAAAAUGUACUUUUGGCUGUCAGGGAAAACGUAUGGAGUAAAAAGUACAUUUUCUUUAGGAAUGUAGUGAAGUAAAAGUUGUAAAAUAUAAAUAAAGUACAGAUACCCAGAAAACAUUUUACUGAAGCACUUUACACCACUGGUGUACAUUGAAUGUGUAUUUUACAUUUGUGAAAUUAUUUCGAUGUGAUAUGAAAGUAAAGGGGGUUUGUGUCUCUAGAACUGUAUCACAAUUGAGAAGCUGAUUCAUGUUUAGACGGAGUAUUUGUCUGUUUUUGGCUUCCAGAGCCAGUCUACCUCUGAAAAUAACAUAAUGGCCUUGGACCUUAAAGAGUAACCUUAGGCCUCUUUAAUAAGAGGUCAUCUUGGGUUAGAACUGGGCCCUGUUGUAAAUCUGGCACCACUACCACCAUCCUCCACAUCUCAACCCUGGAACAGCGUGAAAGGAGGGGAGAGUUCUGGACACCGAGGCCCCUCCGUGAGACUGUUUGGACUGCAUGAGAAGGGUCACAAAGCACCUCUGUUUCCAGGGGCUGUAGAGGACACCUCUACUGCUUCAGCAACACUUGGACGUCCCGCUCUAUUCAAUUUAAACAAAAGUUUGUCCUUCCUUCCUGUCUGUUUUUUUGUGCGGUUUGAAGUGAGACUUCUUUGAAACAGACUGACGAUAACCAGUUUUCUUUGUGUAUAGUUAUGGAUGUGCUAUAAUUUUUCUGAUUAUGCCACAACGUAAUAUUGAGAUUUUACAUUGUGUUUUUUUUUUUU